GCCCGGGUGGUGGAAUUGGUAGACACGAGGGACUUAAAAUCCCUUGGGCGUUUAGCCUGUGCCGGUUCGAUUCCGGCCUCGGGCA
rnacentral:tRNA from 1 species